rfam:TPA: Bos taurus chromosome 7, whole genome shotgun sequence.
UCCCUUGUGGUUCAGCUGGUAAAGAAUCCGCCUGCAAUGCGGGAGACCUGGGUUCGAUCCCUGGAUAGGGAA